rnacentral:rRNA from 1 species
AUUGAACGCUGGCGGCAUGCCUUACACAUGCAAGUCGAACGGUAACGGGCCUUCGGGUGCCGACGAGUGGCGAACGGGUGAGUAAUGUAUCGGAACGUACCUUUCAGUGGGGGAUAACGUAGCGAAAGUUACGCUAAUACCGCAUAUUCUGUGAGCAGGAAAGCAGGGGAUCGCAAGACCUUGCGCUGAUUGAGCGGCCGAUAUCAGAUUAGCUAGUUGGUGAGGUAAAGGCUCACCAAGGCGACGAUCUGUAGCGGGUCUGAGAGGAUGAUCCGCCACACUGGAACUGAGACACGGUCCAGACUCCUACGGGAGGCAGCAGUGGGGAAUUUUGGACAAUGGGCGCAAGCCUGAUCCAGCCAUGCCGCGUGAGUGAAGAAGGCCU